rnacentral:rRNA from 1 species
GACGAACGCUGGCGGCGUGCUUAACACAUGCAAGCCGAACGGAAAGGCCCUGCUUUUGUGGGGUGCUCGAGUGGCGAACGGGUGAGUAACACGUGAGUAACCUGCCCUUGACUUUGGGAUAACUUCAGGAAACUGGGGCUAAUACCGGAUAGGAGCUCCUGCUGCAUGGUGGGGGUUGGAAAGUUUCGGCGGUUGGGGAUGGACUCGCGGCUUAUCAGCUUGUUGGUGGGGUAGUGGCUUACCAAGGCUUUGACGGGUAGCCGGCCUGAGAGGGUGACCGGCCACAUUGGGACUGAGAUACGGCCCAGACUCCUACGGGAGGCAGCAGUGGGUAAUAUUGCACAAUGGGCGGAAGCCUGAUGCAGCAACGCCGCGUGCGGGAUGACGGCCUUCGGGUUGUAAACCGCUUUCGCCUGUGACGAAGCGUGAGUGACGGUAAUGGGUAAAGAAGCACCGGCUAACUACGUG